CUUCAUAACACCUCCCUUAAAAAUUCGUACGUAUGGAAAGGGCCAUGGGAGAGUUAUUAACGCAUAAGAGUAACUUGCACUAUUAGACAAUGACAAAUAAUUAAGGUUUUUGCUCUUAUGUGCUUCAACAACCAUAAAGGAAAUUGAAAAUUUCCCUCAUCAUUCUUUAUAAUUUUCAAUAAGCUUUUAAGAUCAGCAUUCCCAAGAACAACAACGAAAUCCAACGAAAUCUACCGCAUGAUUACAACCGCUUCUAACACAAGUUCCUUGAUUAUGAGGAUCUGCUGCAUUAAGAAAACAAAAAUUAAUUUACAGCACUAAAGCCUCUAUUUCCCAUUUAAUUUCAGAAGAAUCAGAGACAACAGCUUCUUUAAAAUCAGUUUUAAUAAUGGCAUUAUGUACAUUCAUACUAUUUGCCAUAAUGACAGCCUCUUCUUGUUGAUAUUUUGGACUGUUUUGAUACCAAAUGUUGAAAAUAAUAGCAAAAAUAAGAAACUAAAAGCUGAAUUUAUUGGAUGGAGGUACCAAUGAAGCUAAUAGAAUGCUCCUCUCAAGCUCUUGAGUUUUGCUGUGUUGUUCUCUCUGUGUUUUUGACUUUGACUGGGGCUUGAUUGUUUUAGCUUUUGUUCUAAUAAGGACGGUGUCGGCGGUUGUGAAUUUGCACCUGUGAGGUGUUUUCGUCAUGGUUGCCAGCGGUGCUUUGCGGCAUAAUUGCAAUGGAGAUCGUUGGAAGCUCCUUCCCUAAGAAGCUUAUGGAAUUUUUUCCGAGGAACCAUCUAAUGGGCCAAGUCUAUCUCUAGACUUUGAGUUCAGUUUUUGUUUGUUGUUUGAGAUGGGCUUGGGCCCUUGGUAGCCCACCUCUUGUGUUCCCUCUUCUGAAAUUAACGAAAUUUUAUAUUUCAGGUAAAAAAAGACUUAUUUGUGCCCAAGCCGUGGGCAUUUCUGUACUUGGCCAUCCAGCAAUUUAAGUUGUGCUCUAGUACAUAUAUCGCUGUUCAAUAAUUUAGAAGUUGAAUAUUUGGUAGUUUAACCGUUCAAAUCUUUUCAUUCCUUCAAAAUUUCUGCAGUACCAAAAAAUAUCGAAAAGAUAUAUAUGCACGUGUGAUUAUAUAUAUAUAUAUAAUCCAUUUGAUGUCUAUGCUUGUAUUUUAUUUUAUUUUUAUAUAUUUUACCACUACCAUUUAUUAAUUUGGACUACUUUCGGUUCUACAGCCUCAAUGAUUUGAUUUCACGAUCAACUUUCUCGCCGUAUCCUGGUGAAAUAUUAUAUGAUAUAGACAAAAAUAAAACGUUUUCAAAGGAGAGGCAUCCCACUAACUUUAAGUGGAGAUCACGUAGGUAGCAAUUAAUCCAGAACCAGAAGGCUGAAGCAGGGCCUGUAAAACUUAUAUACAUCAGUUGAUAGAUGCAGCUCAUACUCAAUUAAGCACUACUCUCUUUACCAGAUCAUAUAUAGCAAUUUACACUUUUAGUUAUUACAGGGAUAAAGUAAAAUUACUAUUAUAUUUAUUUCAGUGCGAACUUUUAUUCAAGGACAACAUUUACAAGCCAAAAUGAAAUAAGAAAACAAUAAUUAACACACAGAGAACCUUGCUAGCUAAUAACAACUAUUAAUUCUUUACCUUGAAGGCUUCAUUACGCUACUGAUAGUUUACACUAGCAGUCUAAGAUGCAGAGUGAUAUCCAUCCAACUUAUGCCUUGCAACGAUACUGCAGAAUAACUUAAUAAACAGAAGAAAUGGUGGCUAAAGAAGCAGUUCUCUAGACUAGGAAACUUGGGAAGUGGAGGGAAUGGCUACUUAUUAUGAAAUGGAGGGAUCUUUGGGAUGGGAGGGAGAGGCUUAUAUAUAGAAGAUUGGUGGUUUAGGUUUCUUGAAUAUUGGAAUGUGCGGAGGAAGCAGGUUCUUAACUAUUGGAAUCGGCGGUGGAAGUGGCUUUUUGAAUUUAUGUAAUGGUGGAAGUGGUUUCUGAUAUAUUGGUAUUGGUGUGGGCAAGGUCUUCUUAGAUAUCUUAGAUAUUGGAAUAAGUGGUGAAGUGUCUUCUUAUAAAACAGUAUUGGUGGGGGAAGUGGUUUCUUAAAAGUUGGCAUUGGGCGGAAGAGUCAGCUUCUUAAACAGUAGAGGGAAAGAUUUCGGAGGAAACAUCUUUGGUGGUAGUGGGUGGAAAAUUUUUGGGCGCGGAGGAGGAAACGCCUUAGUAUCAAAAAGCAAUGGAUUAUUAAUUACAUCCUUUGUUUUAUUAUCCCUACUAUAGCAGAAAGUGGCAGCAAACAGCAAAGAAACAUAUAAGCACAAAAGUGCUUCUUUAAGAAGAGUGAGAAUCCUCAUUAGGAACCUAUCUUAUGGCUUAAUUCCUAG
rnacentral:misc_RNA from 1 species